rnacentral:rRNA from 1 species
UACGUAGGGGGCAAGCGUUGUCCGGAUUUAUUGGGCGUAAAGAGCGUGUAGGCGGCUUGGUAGGUCCGCUGUGAAAACUCGAGGCUCAACCUCGAGAUGUCGGCGGAAACCGCUUGGCUAGAGUCCGGAAGAGGAGAGUGGAAUUCCCGGUGUAGCGGUGAAAUGCGUAGAUACGGGGGAGAACACUCGUGGCGAAGGCGGCCAGCUGGCCCAGUCCUGACGCUGAGGCGCGACAGCGUGGGGAGCAAACAGG